UCCGUGAUAGUUUAAUGGUCANNNGGGCGCUUGUCGCGUGCCAGAUCGGGGUUCAAUUCCCCGUCGCGGAG
rnacentral:tRNA from 1 species